CUGAAGCACAGAAAGCCUGUCUCACCAGUGAGACCAACGGUGUGAGGGAGAGCCAGCAGAUUUUGAAAAAUGGGUUGGCCUUCACCCCUGUCAUGUCCUUAAUGAUGUCAUACAACCGAUCUGCCCCUUGAUAGGAGAAACAAGAUCAGUUAAACAGGAUUAGUUGAUCAGAUCA